rnacentral:rRNA from 1 species
GGUGUUGCAUGGCUGUCGUCAGCUCGUGUCGUGAGAUGUUGGGUUAAGUCCCGCAACGAGCGCAACCCUCAUCCUUAGUUACCAUCAGGUAAUGCUGGGGACUUUAAGGAAACUGCCAGUGAUAAACUGGAGGAAGGUGGGGAUGAUGUCAAGUCAUCAUGGCCCUUAUGGAGUGGGCUACACACGUGCUACAAUGGUGGCUACAAUGGGCUGCAAAGUCGCGAGGCUAAGCUAAUCCCUUAAAAGCCAUCUCAGUUCGGAUUGUACUCUGCAACUCGGGUGCAUGAAGUUGGAAUCGCUAGUAAUCGUGGAUCAGCACGCCACGGUGAAUACGUUCCCGGGUCUUGUACACAC